UACGGAGGGUGCAAGCGUUGUCCGGAUUUAUUGGGUUUAAAGGGUGCGUAGGCGGAUCUUUAAGUCAGUGGUGAAAUCCUGCAGCUUAACUGUAGAACUGCCAUUGAAACUGGAGGUCUUGAGUAUACUAGAGGUAGGCGGAAUUUAUGGUGUAGCGGUGAAAUGCAUAGAUACCAUAAAGAACACCAAUAGCGUAGGCAGCUUACUGGAGUAUAACUGACGCUGAGGCACGAAAGCAUGGGUAGCGAAC
rnacentral:rRNA from 1 species